rnacentral:piRNA from 1 species
UUGAUGCUUCACAGUCUUUUCAGAUGCGU